rnacentral:tRNA from 1 species
GGUGGGUUUCCCAAGUGGUCAAAGGGAGCUGACUGUAAAUCAGCCGCGGAAGCUUCGCAGGUUCAAAUCCUGCACCCACCA